rnacentral:rRNA from 1 species
CAGCCGCCGCGGUAAUACGGAGGGCGCGAGCGUUACCCGGAUUUACUGGGCGUAAAGGGCGUGUAGGCGGCCUGGGGCGUCCCAUGUGAAAGGCCACGGCUCAACCGUGGAGGAGCGUGGGAUACGCUCAGGCUAGAGGGUGGGAGAGGAUGGUGGAAUUCCCGGAGUAGCGGUGAAAUGCGCAGAUACCGGGAGGAACGCCGAUGGCGAAGGCAGCCACCUGGUCCACUUCUGACGCUGAGGCGCGAAAGCGUGGGGGGCAAACCGGAUUAGAUACCCCCGUAGUCCCUGUCUCUUAUAC